CCUACGGGUGGCAGCAGUGGGGAAUAUUGGGCAAUGGGCGCAAGCCUGACCCAGCAACGCCGCGUGAAGGAAGAAGGCUUUCGGGUUGUAAACUUCUUUUAUCAGGGACGAAGCAAGUAACGGUACCUGAUGCAUAAGCCACGGCUAAAUACGUGCCAGCAGCCGCGGUAAUACGUAGGUGGCAAGCGUUAUCCGGAUUUACUGGGGGUAAAGGUCGUGUAGGCGGGAGUGCAAGUCAGAUGUGAAAACGAUGGGCUCAACCCAUAGCCUGCAUUUGAAACUGUACUUCUUGAGUGCUGGAGAGGCAAUCGGAAGUCCGGGUGGAGCGGUGAAAUGCGUAGAUAUGCGGAGGAACACCAGUGGCGAAGGCGGAUUGCUGGACAGUAACUGACGCUGAGGCGCGAAAGCGUGGGGAGCAAACAGGAUUAGAUACCCUGGUAGUC
rnacentral:rRNA from 1 species